CUGACUUUGUCCAGUACACAGCCACGAGUCAAUCAUCAUCAUCGGCUUUGAAAAUUAGUCACAUAACUGUUAGUCAAGACCAAUGGAAACAACGAAAGAAAAUAACGUGUAAUGCGGAGCAUCCAAAGGGUAAAAUGGAUAAAGUAUUUGAAAGUCCAGGGGACCCAAAGGCACCAGAACUGAGUUUGGUUCCAGUAAUAACUAAAAAAAAUUCACUUGUCAUGUGUGUUGUUGAGGACUUCUUCCCCAAAAACCUCGCUGUUGAAUGGAAAGUAAAUGAUAAAACUGAGACAAGUGAGACUUUCCACCAGAAAAUGCCAGACAAGAACAAUGAUGGUCGUUUCACAACAAGGAGUUAUAUUAAGCUCAGAAGUGAUGCAAAUACUCUCUACACCUGUGAGGUCACACACCAGGGUAACAAAGCUCUGGAGAGCAAAACCUUUAAUGCUAACUUCACACUGACUCUGAAGCCACCACUGCAGAAAGAAAUAUUCGUCAACAAUAAAAUUAUAUUGGAGGCAGUUGUUUCUGGAAGUGCAUUCAAAGCCGUAGAGAAUGCUUUGGUGUCAUGCCUAGUGGAUAAUCAACAAAUCAAUGGGAUACCAGGAAAUACACAUUUUUCAAAGGAUACUUCUCAGCAUAUGAAAAUCUACAGUGUCACAGUUGAUCACAAGAAAUGGUUUGAGGGUAAAAAGGUCAUCUGUACCACCCAUGACACAAAUAAAAAAGAAAUCAAGAAGGAGAUCCAAUUUAAUAAAGGAGAUGGAAAUACGCCCAAAGUUAUUAUUUACAGACCUGACAAUGAUACACUUGAUCACGUCUCUCUGGUGUGUGAGGUUUCCAGUGCUCAACUUGGUGAUGUUUAUAUCAUGUGGAAAUUGGGCUCUAAAACAACAUACAUAGAGGCCCCUACCAGUGGUCCAAUCCGUCAAGAGAACUUCACAUCUGUCCUCAGCUUUUUAACAGUGACUCCAGAACAAUACAAAAAUUAUGCGAUCUCCUGUGCAGUCCAACAUGUCAACAUCAGCAAUUUAGGAUCACCAAAAAUAGUAUCAACAAGCAAAAUUGAGCUACAAGAGCCAGAGAUGGGUUUUGCUUUGCUCUGCAAUACAAAUGUUUUGGAGGAGGAUGAGUUCAGAAGUCUCUGGUACACUGCCUCAUCAUUCAUCUUUCUGUUCCUCUUUACUCUGACCUACAGCGCUCUGCUAAGCUUAUUAAAGAUAAAGCAGUGAAGACUCAUUGGUUAUUCAUUCAUCUUGUGACUAUCAUUGUAUUUUCUUUUGAUUUAUCUAUUUUGAAAAAAAAAAAAUGAAAAAAAAGAAGCAAUUCUUUCUUGCUUUCUCCAUGAUUCUUUUUUAUGUAGGCUAAUUGAUAUUGUUAAUACUAUAUUAUUUGCCUCUGUGCAUACAUUUAAAAAUAUUGAUAAAGAUGUGUUCA